rnacentral:rRNA from 1 species
GAUGAACGCUGGCGGCGUGCCUAAUACAUGCAAGUAGAACGCUGAAGCUUGGUGCUUGCACCGAGCGGAUGAGUUGCGAACGGGUGAGUAACGCGUAGGUAACCUGCCUGGUAGCGGGGGAUAACUAUUGGAAACGAUAGCUAAUACCGCAUAACAGUCGACAUUGCAUGAUGUUGAUUUGAAAGGGGCAAUUGCUCCACUACCAGAUGGACCUGCGUUGUAUUAGCUAGUUGGUGAGGUAACGGCUCACCAAGGCGACGAUACAUAGCCGACCUGAGAGGGUGAUCGGCCACACUGGGACUGAGACACGGCCCAGACUCCUACGGGAGGCAGCAGUAGGGAAUCUUCGGCAAUGGGGGCAACCCUGACCGAGCAACGCCGCGUGAGUGAAGAAGGUUUUCGGAUCGUAAAGCUCUGUUGUAAGAGAAGAACGAGUGUGAGAGUGGAAAGUUCACACUGUGACGGUAACUACCAGAAAGGAC